GUGGAGAUACUGGGAGGACUGGGAUGGACUGGGAGAGACUGGGGGGACUGGGAUGGACUGGGGGACUGGGAAUACUGGGACAGACUAGGGAGCACUGGGACAGACUGGGAGAAACUGGGAGAUACUGGGACUGAAUGGGAGUUCUGGGAAUACUGGGAGGACUGGAAGAGACUGGGGGACUGGAGAUACUGGGAAGCACUGGGACCGACUGGGAGCUGUGGGGCAGACUGGGGUGGACUGGGGAUACCGGGAGAACUGGGACAAACUGGGAUGAACUGGGAGUUCUGGAACCCCGGGAGACCGCAGAGCAGGAUGUGGGGGUAGUGGUGCACGCUGGGUAUGGGGAACUGGGAGCACUGGUGCGUACUGGUGUCACUGGUGCAGUGCUCUGCCC
rnacentral:lncRNA from 1 species